UACAGAGGGUGCAAGCGUUAAUCGGAAUUACUGGGCGUAAAGCGUGCGUAGGUGGUUCUUUAAGUCAGGUGUGAAAUCCCCGGGCUCAACCUGGGAACUGCAUUUGAUACUGAAGAGCUAGAGUGUGGUAGAGGAUAGUGGAAUUCCCGGUGUAGCGGUGAAAUGCGUAGAUAUCGGGAGGAACAUCAGUGGCGAAGGCGCUCAUCUGGCCCAAUACUGACGCUGAGGCGCGAAAGCUAGGGGAGCAAACGGG
rnacentral:rRNA from 1 species